UUUUUGUCUCAAAGAUUUGAAACAAAAAAUCCAUACAAGAUCUCUAGAGAUCUCACCUAAAUCUCUAUAUAAAACACCCUCCAUCUUCUCCAAAUUAAAUCACAAACACACAGAACUCUUUACACUCAAAUAUACACACAGAUAUUACUCUCCUCUCUCCCUUUGUCUGCAUAUCAAUUUACACACACACAAAACACAACACUGAGAUUUUUUUUACUCUCAUCUUCCCCAUAAUCUAUACUAUAACAAAUACCCACACAAAAUCAAACACCCACCCCCGCAUCCCUCGGUUCCCUCUUUCCAGGCGACACCCACCUUCUCCUCUUGACAACAAAACGGACCACCACCACCACCGUCCGGUGGUGGUGAGCGACAGCUGCAGAAACGGAGCGGGAGAGAGAGAGGCAAUGAAAGAGACAGAGGCGAGAGAGACGACGAGAUGGAUAGAUCGAGAGGAGAAAGAGAGUGACGGCGGAGAAGAAGCGGCGCCGCCGCUCAUGGCGGCGGCGGGAGUGGCGGUGGUUCGGGUCUCGGUCUGACGAAUUUCCGGCCAAAUUUGGGAAGACUUGCGAGUCUCGGCUCACCCACAGGUUGGUUCGGAUCGAACCUGGUCAAGUCUUGGAUGGUCAACAACAGUCAAAGUUUGGUCAACCGCUCGGGUCAACAGUGGGCAAGUUUGUUUUGGGUCAAGCAUGGAUCGGACGAGUCAGAUUCGCUCGUUUAACUCAGCGAGUCGACUCGGUCAAACCCGAGUCAACUCGGUCAGCACAGUCAAAGCGAGUCAACUCAGUUGACCCGGUCAACUCAGUCCGCGGUUCGACGCGAGAGAUUUGGAAUAUUGUAGAAUGCACGCUAGCGAGUCUCGUCUUGGAAACGACAUCACGAAGUCGUAUAUAGCUUGCUUUGCACAUGAAUAUUCAGGUUGCUUUUCAUAGUUAUGGCAUGGUUGGAAUAGGAGAACCAUGUGGAGUCGAAUACUUAGUGGCGUUCAUUUUCUAAAAGACUUAACUUUUUUGCUUCCGCUGUGCAAUGAAGAUACCAGUCCAGUCACGCCAAUGCUCUGAUAAUUUAGGGGUGUGACAGAUUGGUAUCAGAGCUAUAGGUUACAACGAAUAAGGUUUUCUGUAGGAUUACCUAGGCUCUAACCUCACUUUUCUCUGGGACUUAGACUAUUAAGACGUUGAAUACAUACAAAACGCAUAGUACUUGAAUAUGGUCUCCAACCGUUGCCGAAAAACAAACAGUCAAAGUUUUGUUUUCAAACAUACGCUAUUGUGGUGUUUUAUACAUGGUACACAAAAACAGUCGCAUACAGUACACAAAACUCUGAGAGUUUAGGAAAUAUACAUUUAAGACCUUCGGAAACCAAUGUUGAAAUUCAUUAAAGGUCAUCACGUAGGAACCACGUUUAUUAACUCGGGAAAACGCCAUUAUUGUGUCAUCUAUGCUAUUUUUAACCAAGCAGGUAACCUACGCAAAACAAAGCACGGGCGUGCAAGAUUUCACGAAACUCAAUCUACAUGACGACAGAGAUUGAAGUACGUUACAUACGACUUUCGAGGAAGCGGCAGUUUGGCACGCGGUUCUGCAAACGACACGAGUCAUACUAAGGAGAAGAUGUAUGUCUCCGCAUUCCCCCUAACUCAAUAACGACGAAUACACUAUGUCCGGCAUUUCAUGGUAAAGUCACCCAACAACUGAUUAUCACAUGAAACCCCAGGUAAAGUCCUUGAAUUUAUUUAUUGAAAUUCCGACUUUUGCAUCUAGUGAGUAGAUUUUCGCAUCUCUACUCCUUUUAAUGGUCAUUGUAUCACGAUCAUUCUUUCAUUAUAGCGAAUAUUCAAUUGCUUCAUUCAUAUGUUACGCAUGCAUCGUUUGUUACGCAUGUGGUUUCGUUUUGAAUAAGCGUUUCAUUUGUUCUGAGUCGUAGUGGACUUGUUUGGUCUAUGACUCCAUUAAGUUGUUUGUUGAUUUCGACACCUUGUGAUGGUGUUUUCACUAAUUGAAGCUUGCGCUAAGUUCGUUUACGCAUCUCAUGCACGGAUUUAAAUAUUUAUUUAUUGAUUUGCUUUAAAUCCGAUUUGAUUAUCAUAUUUAAGCGUCUUAACACAAUUGUGUGUUAUGACAAUGGUACACAAAUUCAUUGCACAUUCCGGUGUACCUACUAAAGUUUCUUUCAACAUCGAUCGAAUAUUUUGCGAUAUUUAUUGCUUCUUCGUCUUCGAUCGAAAACACUAUUUCUUUGAUGUUUCAUUUUCAAUUGAAAAUCCUAUGACGUCAUUUGAAACAAACUUUCAGAUUCACUUUAUUGCGCUUUCAUUUGACUUCAGACACAUUGAAUUUGUUUGAUCACCGCUAUUAUUGAAUUGUUUCAUUCACUACGACACCUUGUGGCGUCAGUAGAACUUACAGCUUGGGCUGAUCAUGAUCGAGCAUUUCAUACAAAACAAUUUCGUUUGGGCUUGUUGAUUCUAAGCUUCUCCUAGCGAAUGUUAUUGUUUCUAACAUUCAUUUACAUAUUGUAAACGUCCAUUGGAAUUCUUUUGGUAGAAAUUCCUCUUUUAUUGGACCCCUGUUAAACUUGAUCACACUAGUGACUGUAUUAGUAUGCUUCGUUUCCUUUGACAUUAUUCGUAUUUACUUACAUAUAACGUAACUCUAAGGAGUUGACAUAGUCUAAAUUACGAGGAUGAAAUUUUAUUAACAGGGGGAGAAUGUGACAACCGGUAAUUUACGCCAUUAAUUACGUGAUUAACAAGCGAUUUACGCAACAUUAAAUAGUGUUUACGAUGCAAAUUAACUUAAUUAGGGCCUCAGUAAGCUUAGGAACGCUUAUGCGGUUCUACAGUGCGCGUGUGACGAUCUGCGAAGAGACUGUUGGAAAUUAAACGGUAAUAAACUGAAACCGUACGAAAUACUGACGACACCGACAAAUAUGGAUGUUACACGAAUAUUUUUAUGCUUAUGGAGUUUGGGUUGCGAUAUCGGGUCUCGUAGGAAUUACGGGCCACUUACACAUGAGAUGGGCUUGUGGGCCCUGGGCCCAAGCCCAAAACCCACAAGCCUAAACCUACACUUAAUAUAUUUGACCUAUUAAGAUCUCUACUAGAUAUUGCAAAACCUGUAUAAAAUCUUUACAAAUCUUGCCAAAAUCCUAGUAAAAUCUCUAAAGAUUUUUGUCUCAAAGAUUUGAAACACAAAAUCCAUACAAGAUUUCUAGAGAUCUCACCCAAAUCUCUAUAUAAAACACCCUCCGUCUUCUCCAAAUUAAAUCACAAACACACAGAACUCUUUACACUCAAAUAUACACACAAAUAUUACUCUCCUCUCUCCCUUUGUCUGCAUAUCAAUUUACGUGACUAACGAGCUCGAACCCAUUUAGGAUCAGUAUUUAGUUUACAUUUUAAACAUAUGAUGAAAAUUAACAUAUUGAUAUUGAUAUUGAUAUUGAUAUUGAGUAUAUUGUUGAUUGAAUUUCGAUAAAAUAACGACGACUUGUGUCGUCGGGGGCGUCCGAAAACAGAGGAAACUCUGCCCGAUUUCCGAGAAAAUCCGUAAAAUAAAACAUGUUUUAAAGCAAACCAAAACGGACCAAGUAACUUUUAUGAAAUAACUACAAAUGUAUGUUGUUUCCACCGGCACUUUAUAACUUGCAAAAAAACAACGACGACGCAAACUAUUAUACAAAAUAAAUAUAGUUAUUAUUAUAUUUAUUUCAAACGUAAACUUGAAUCAUUUUAUAAAUAAAUAUAGUAUAUAUAUUUAUUUCAAAAAUCGCGUAACACGAAUUCGUUUUAUAAAAAUAAAUACAGUUUUUAUAUUUAUUUCAAAUAUCGUACCACACGAAUUCCUUUAUAAAAAUAAAUAUAUUUUUAUAUUUAUUACAAACUUCAAACAAACUCGUUGAUACUUUCGCAAAAUAAAUAUAACUUUUUAUAUUUAUUACAAACGCCGAAACGGCACAUACGUACAUUUUGACAAAUAGCAUACAAGACACAACAAAUAUAUAAUACAAGUUUAUUAUAUAUUACUUUCGUACGAAAAUUCCUAUAUACACAAACGACUUCUCGGGGCGACAAAGUAUAACUUAAUCAUUUGUAUUAAGUUAACAACUUAUCGUCAACGAUUCGGUAGAGCUCGGUAACACGUAGUUUAGUUACUGCUUUUAUUUAGAAACUUAUAAGAUAUUCCAUGUUAGGAAUAUUGUAGAAUGUACGCUAGCGAGUCUCGUCUUGGAAACGACAUCAGGAAGUCGUAUAUAGCUAGCUUUGCACAGGAAUAUUCAGGUGAGUUCAUAACCCCACCUUUUCAAUGUUUUACAUUUUUCUAAAUGUUUUCGGGGUGGAAAGACAUGCACUUUUUGCAAAGCAUACAAGAAUUACAUAUUUCUAAACCAUUUUACAAGCAAGUUUUAACUGACACAAAUGGUUUACGAAAAGCUUCUGUUGCAUACCGGUUUUCAAACAAGCGUAUUUUUCGAAAUAUGCAUACUGAUGUGCACAAAAUGCAACAUAUAAAUUACAUCAAUUGUUGCAUAAAACUAACCCUUUUUUAGUACUAAUGUUGGAAAAAGUGUGCUUUUGUCUUCCUUUUGUAUUUUCAAGAUUAAAUGAGCUCAAAUAAACAAAAGAAGCAAAAAGGCAGCUAAAUCUAACAUAAAUACAAGAAAAGGAGCAAAACGUGGCAAAACAAGAAGACAGAAGACUGAACACGCCCCGUGCUCAGUGAGCACGGGGGUGUGCCCAAGUGUCAGCAGAAAAGACAGUUGUAGAAGCUUCCAUCGCCCACCACGGGGCCGUGCUUAGCGGACACGAGCCGUGGUCAACUAUAAGAUUCGCGGAAUCCAGGCAAAUCUUGAUAGUACAGAUAUGCUUCUGCACACGGGGUCGUGCUCAGCGGACACGGGGGCGUGGUCAACUAAUGCAGACAAACUGCAUUUAAUGAAGAAAGAGAGGAGGAUGGACACGGGGCUGUGCCCAAUGGACACGGGGCCGUGCCCAAGCUUCUGUUCAGCCUAUAAAUAGGAGUGCUUGGAGCUCUUGCAACUCAUCCCUUCGCACACCACCUCUCUCACACUUCACCCACCACCAUCACAACACCAUCAUCCAUUGUCCAUCAUAGAGUGUGUGAGUCGUCUCGGGAUCCAAGAUUGAUCGUAAGAGUUCUUGACAAUCAAAGGCCAUGUUUGCCUAAGUCUCUUACAUCACUUGGUGAAGACAAGUGUUUAGUGUAAUACUUUUUAUUUUUAAUCUUUUGCACUUUUUAAUUGGUUUUGUAUUAAUGACUUUAAUUACUUGUUUCUUAUGUUGAAGGUGAUUCU
rnacentral:lncRNA from 1 species